ACGAAGGGUGCAAGCGUUACUCGGAAUUACUGGGCGUAAAGCGUGCGUAGGUGGUUCGUUAAGUCUGUCGUGAAAUCCCCGAGCUCAACUUGGGAAUUGCGAUGGAUACUGGCAAGCUGGAGUACGGUAGAGGAAGGUGGAAUUCCCGGUGUAGCAGUGAAAUGCGUAGAGAUCGGGAGGAACACCAGUGGCGAAGGCGGCCUUCUGGACCAGUACUGACGCUCAUGCACGAAAGCGUGGGGAGCAAACAGGA
rnacentral:rRNA from 1 species